rnacentral:rRNA from 1 species
AGAGUUUGAUCCUGGCUCAGGAUGAACGCUGGCGGCGUGCCUAAUACAUGCAAGUCGAGCGAACGGACGAGAAGCUUGCUUCUCUGAUGUUAGCGGCGGACGGGUGAGUAACACGUGGAUAACCUACCUAUAAGACUGGGAUAACUUCGGGAAACCGGAGCUAAUACCGGAUAAUAUUUUGAACCGCAUGGUUCAAAAGUGAAAGACGGUCUUGCUGUCACUUAUAGAUGGAUCCGCGCUGCAUUAGCUAGUUGGUAAGGUAACGGCUUACCAAGGCAACGAUGCAUAGCCGACCUGAGAGGGUGAUCGGCCACACUGGAACUGAGACACGGUCCAGACUCCUACGGGAGGCAGCAGUAGGGAAUCUUCCGCAAUGGGCGAAAGCCUGACGGAGCAACGCCGCGUGAGUGAUGAAGGUCUUCGGAUCGUAAAACUCUGUUAUUAGGGAAGAACAUAUGUGUAAGUAACUGUGCACAUCUUGACGGUACCUAAUCAGAAAGCCACGGCUAACUACGUGCCAGCAGCCGCGGUAAUACGUAGGUGGCAAGCGUUAUCCGGAAUUAUUGGGCGUAAAGCGCGCGUAGGCGGUUUUUUAAGUCUGAUGUGAAAGCCCACGGCUCAACCGUGGAGGGUCAUUGGAAACUGGAAAACUUGAGUGCAGAAGAGGAAAGUGGAAUUCCAUGUGUAGCGGUGAAAUGCGCAGAGAUAUGGAGGAACACCAGUGGCGAAGGCGACUUUCUGGUCUGUAACUGACGCUGAUGUGCGAAAGCGUGGGGAUCAAACAGGAUUAGAUACCCUGGUAGUCCACGCCGUAAACGAUGAGUGCUAAGUGUUAGGGGGUUUCCGCCCCUUAGUGCUGCAGCUAACGCAUUAAGCACUCCGCCUGGGGAGUACGACCGCAAGGUUGAAACUCAAAGGAAUUGACGGGGACCCGCACAAGCGGUGGAGCAUGUGGUUUAAUUCGAAGCAACGCGAAGAACCUUACCAAAUCUUGACAUCCUUUGACAACUCUAGAGAUAGAGCCUUCCCCUUCGGGGGACAAAGUGACAGGUGGUGCAUGGUUGUCGUCAGCUCGUGUCGUGAGAUGUUGGGUUAAGUCCCGCAACGAGCGCAACCCUUAAGCUUAGUUGCCAUCAUUAAGUUGGGCACUCUAAGUUGACUGCCGGUGACAAACCGGAGGAAGGUGGGGAUGACGUCAAAUCAUCAUGCCCCUUAUGAUUUGGG